rnacentral:rRNA from 1 species
UAACCUGCCCAAGAGAUCGGGAUAACACCUGGAAACAGAUGCUAAUACCGGAUAANAACAGAUGAUGCCUAUCAACUGUUUAAAAGAUGGUUCUGCUAUCACUCUUGGAUGGACCUGCGGUGCAUUAGCUAGUUGGUAGGGUAACGGCCUACCAAGGCGAUGAUGCAUAGCCGAGUUGAGAGACUGAUCGGCCACAUUGGGACUGAGACACGGCCCAAACUCCUACGGGAGGCAGCAGGA